AUUGAACGCUGGCGGCAGGCCUAACACAUGCAAGUCGAACGAGUGGCGGACGGGUGAGUAAUGUGUGGGAAACUGCCUGAUGGAGGGGGAUAACUACUGGAAACGGUAGCUAAUACCGCAUACCAUCGGAUGUGCCCAGAUGGGAUUAGCUAGGAGGUGGGGCAAAGGCUCACCUAGGCGACGAUCCCUAGCUGGUCUGAGAGGAUGACCAGCCACACUGUAACGGAGAAACGGUCCAGACUCCUACGGGAGGCAGCAGUGGUGAAUAUUGCCCAAUGGGCGCAAGCCUGAUGCAGCCACGCCGCGUGUAUGAAGAAGUCCUUCGGGUUGUAAAGUACUUUCAGCGGGGAGGCGUUACCCGCAGAAGAGGGACCGGCUAACUCCGUGCCAGCAGCCGCGGUAAUUC
rnacentral:rRNA from 1 species